AGUGAACGCUGGCGGCGUGCUUAACACAUGCAAGUCGAACGGUAACAGGAACUAGCUUGCUAGUUUGCUGACGAGUGGCGCACGGGUGAGUAAUAUAUAGUUAAUGUACCCCAAAGACUGGGAUAGCCACUGGAAACGGUGAUUAAUACUAGAUACACCUCUUUAACAUAAGUUAGAGAGGGAAAUGUCUUUUCGCUUUGGGAUCAGACUAUAUCCUAUCAGUUAGUUGGUGAGGUAAUGGCUCACCAAGGCAAUGACGGGUAGCGGGUUUGAGAGGAUGAUCCACCACACUGGUACUGAGACACGGACCAGACUCCUACGGGAGGCAGCAGUGAGGAAUAUUGCACAAUGGAGGAAACUCUGAUGCAGCAACGCCGCGUGGAGGAUGACGCAUUUCGGUGUGUAAACUCCUUUUAUGAGUCAAGAAAAUGACGGUAGCUCAUGAAUAAGCACCGGCUAACUCCGUGCCAGCAGCCGCGGUAAAG
rnacentral:rRNA from 1 species